GUUUGAAAGCACAACAAAGAAACUAGGCAUAUAGCAAACUAAUUAAACCCUUGAUUUACAUUAAUACACUAAGAUUGAAAACAAAAUCCAAGAUUGAGGUGAGAAUAGCAACAUUAGUUCAACAUCCUCCAACGAACAAUAGAGGGCUCUGAUCUGACCACAAUCAAUCAGUCUAUUUGUUCUGGUUCUUGAGUUGUCACACAAAUUGACCAAAUGCCAUUAGGUCUUCAUCGAUCGAGUUGUUCCAACAGCCGAUUAGUAAGUCUGUUGUGCUUGUUGAGGACAUAUACAACCUCUCUUCACACAUGGAUUUUUUGUCGUCGUUGUUGUUAUUAUUGAGAAACUCAUCGUUUGUGAGAUGAACGGUGGUGAUAUCGUGAAUACUAGGUCUCUUCCUCUCUUUCUCCCUUGAAAGUUGCCUCAAAUAGUACUUCUGAGCAUGACUAGCCACU
rnacentral:misc_RNA from 1 species